CUCCGUGUUGUUCUCCAUGUUGUUCUCCGUGUUGGUCUCCGUGUUGGUCUCCGUGUUGUUCUCCAUGUUGUUCUCCGUGUUGGUCUCCCUGUUGGUCUCCAUAAAUUUCAAAUUUUUGCUGUAAUGAUUCUGCUAAAAAAAAAAAAACAUUAUUUUACAGAUAUUUUAAUUUAAAAAAUACUGUGUUCCCAUGUUAUUUACACAAAAUAACUUCAACAUAAAAUGAAACUAAAUUACCACAAAAAUACUCAAAAUUGAAACAAAUGAUGUGAAAUAACCUCAUAAACAGUGAAAUCACCACAAAUUACUGUAAAAAGAUGAAAGAACGCCACAAAAUGAUCAGAUUUUAUAAAAUCACAGAAACCAGAAUUAAUUUACAUUUUAACUGUAAAAAAAAAAAAAACAACAAAACAGGUCAACAUCAAAAGUCUGUAUUUUUACAAAUAAUUUUUAUUUGCAAAUAAAGUAAGACAUUCUUUAACAAAAUGUGACAAAAUAAAUUUCACAUUUUUACUGUAUUUGAUUCUUACAGAUAUUUUAAAUUUGUUUUUAAAUACUAUUUUCCCGUGUUAUUUAUGGUAUAUUUAUCUAAUAUUUUCUCUUUUAUUGUCUCAGACUGAUGGAGGCGACGUCUCGUUUUACAGAUUUGUUCCAGAGAAACAGGAAACCAGAAGCCCUCCAUUUGACAUUUGUUUUUGCAGAAGGAUAUUUGGUCCAUCUAUUGGAUUACUCAGGCUCCACCCCCUCCCACCCAAUCCAGCUCUUAGCCAAUUAACAUCAUCUUCAUCCUCCCCAACACACCUGACCUGCCUGUGGCUGUGCUAAUUAUCAGAGCUAGAAAAAGAAAAGGAUUUGCUGCUGGUUUCAGGGGGGUUUCCUGCGUACGUGAAUGUACAUGUAGCGUGAACGUCUCUGACAUUCAAUGAAGAAAUUAUAAUAAUUUAUCUAUUUCUUUUCCAGAGACCCUGUUGACUCAUUAGUGAACAAUGUUUAUAUAAUCUAGUGGCAGAAAAAACUCAACAAAUGGACAAAUAUAAAAAGAAAAUGUAAAAAAUCUCAGUCAAGUGGAAAAACCUCAACAAAUGUUCAAGUUGAAACUCAUUUAUGGUGUAGAAAACUAGCAAAUGUUAGUAAAAGUCAUUCAGAUAUCAUCCAUAUAAGGACAUCAUUUACGGGUCAUUCCAGAUAAAUUCAGUCUUUAUUAAUGAUCAGAGUUCUACCUUUAUACUGUGAAUAUUUUCAGAGUAAAGUAUUUUCAGAGUUCAAACUUCUUAAUUUGCUGUGUUGCUUUUUUUUCAACCAAAGACACAAGACCAACACAGAGCAGCCGAAAUCCCCACAAAAACACAAAAAAAAAUCAAACUCACAAGUAAUGAGGUGAAAUGACCAAAACAAACAAAACCAUCAACACAAAAAGGUGCAAAAUCCAUCCAUCCAUCCAUUAUCUAUACACCACUUAAUCCUCACUAGGGUCAUGGGGGGGCUGGAGUCUAUCCCAGCUGACUCAGGUGAAGGCAGGGGACACCCUAGACAGGUCACCAGUCUGUCACAGGGCUACAUACAGAGACAAACAAUCACUCUCACAUUCACACCUACGGGCAAUUUAGAAUGAUCAAUUAACCUCAGCAUAUUUUUGGACUGUGGGAGGAAGCCGGAGUACCCGGAGAAAACCCACGCAUGCACAGGGAGAACAUGCAAACUCCAUGCAGAAAGAUCCCGGGAAAGCCGGGACGUGAACCAGGGAUCUUCUAGCUGCAAGGCGAAAGUGCUAACCACUACACCACUGUGCAGCCCAGGUGCAAAAUCACUUUAUAAAAUGCAAAAUCGACAUAAAAAGGUGCAAAAUCACUUUGGAAAGAAAUGAAAGAUGCAAAAGCACCACUAAGACUCAAAAUGACCACAAACAUGCAAAAUCGACACAAAAAAAUGCAAAAUUACCACAAAAAGACACAAAAUCACCUCAAAAAGAGCCAAAACUACCCUGAAAGUUUCAAAUAUGCCAGGAAAACAUCCCAAAUCACUGCAAAAACAGACCAAAACUACCACAAAACAGGUGAAAUUGCAACAAAAACUCAAAUUUGGCACAAAAUACAUUCAAAAUAAAAACGGCCAAAAUUACCACAAAAUGUACCAAAAUCGCCAUGAAAAGUACCACAUUUACCACAAAAAGUAGCAAAAUUACUACAAAAAGUACCAAAAUUACUACAAAAAGUACCAAAAUCACCACAAAAGUAUCAAUAUUACCACUAAAAGUACCAAACUCAUCACAAAAAGUACCAAAACUACCACAAAAGGUAGCAAAAGCACCACAAACAUUACCAAAACUACCACAAAAAGUACCAAAAUCACCAAUGUAAAAUGUAAAACAGGACCCUGUCAAUCCCCCUCAAUACUGCUGGCUCCUGUUAUGGAAUUAGAGUUGUAAGAUUAGAAAAGUAAGAUGUGAUUAUAUUUUAGAAGGGCUCAGUGCAUCCAGAGAGGUCCUCCAGCAGCCUAGGCCUGUAGCAGCAGAACUAGGGGCAGAACUAAGGGACGUCCAAGAGGAAGACUCCAGCUGACCCCCUCAGGGUCCCCCAGUCAGUCCUAACUAUAAGAUUUGUCAAAAAGGAAGGUUUUAAGCCUGGUCUUAAAAUUAGAGAGAGUGUCCACCUCCAGAACCCAAACUGGGAGCUGGUUCCACAGGAGAGGAGCUGAUAAAGAAGCUCAUGAAGUUGUUACUGCUCAAAGCUAAAGGACUACAAGGUUCAACAGAGCUCUGACUCUUUGUCAGAGGAAUCUUUGUCCUCAGGAAUAGUUUUCAAAAUAGUUAAGAGUCAACAUAACAUUAGCAUUAAUUUAUUCCAAAAGUGACUUUUGUUUUUCAUUAUUCCAUCCAUAGAUUUUCCUGUCUUUGCUGGUUAACCAUCCAUGUUGAACAUGACGAUAUCAUGUGUUGAGGGACUGAAUGGAAUGAAUCUGAAACUGUUGGAUCAAUGGGAUGCCCUGUCCAACGGUGUACAGAAGCUGUUUGAAUCAGAGCACUGAGGAGGCUGAGGACCAGCAGGCUGAACGGAGGAAGCUGGAGCACAGCUGAGUGGAAUUAGCUGCUGCUUCCUCCAUCCUCAGUCCUCCGGUCCGUGACCCAGAAGUCGAUCUUGGACAAAAGAACGUCUCAGUUCCUAAAAUGACUCUGGAGGAGAUGCACAGGAAACACUAAACAGGCUGAACAGCAAAAAGAGCAGCCAAGUCAAUGAGCAGUCGGACGGAUUCCACAAACAUCUGCAGCAGAAGUCCAACCGAUGAGAAACAGCUGUGGAAGCAGACACCUGCACAACUACAGGUCUGCUGUUCAGGAAGUCCAGCACCCGACCUGACAGUAAACCGGCCAGAAUGAUGAGAGCUACUGCAGGAUUCAGACUCACCGGGGUCGAGGUAUUUGCCCAGGAACGUGGUGACAACUGAUCUGACACUUGGACCUACAGUUCCAGCCUCUGAGGUCUGAUAGAUGUAGCUCCACAGAAAUGGUUCUGUUAUUGAACACGACACUUGCCAGACAAAGGAGGUUUUUCCAUAUUAUUGGUGCUGGUUGUUGCACAUUCGUGACGUUUCUUAUUACAUCUCAGAUUGGGAAGUCUCAGCUUUGUCAUCUCUGUCGUGUAACGUAGGCGGAUGUUAACGUCCAGGCUGGCUCCUGUUACUGGUUUGGUUUGUCAUCAGCUCCAUGUGGGUUCUCCAGGCCAAUAAUACAUGUUCCACUCCUAUUAGCAGUGUUGAUGGAUGUUACCUUCAGGAUGUUUUCUGUGUACUGCCAUCUAUUUGUGGCAGCGGCAGCAGUUUCCUCACAAGCAGCAUGUGUUCUGUAAGCUGGAUGCUCCUCCUGCAGUUUAUCCUUCAGCUGAGCACAUCCCCUCCCAGCUGGAUGCUCAGCUCAGACUUACAGGCUGGCAUCUUUUCACAGCUGAAUGUUGACUGACGUUCCUGUAGGUGUCACUAGACGAGCGCUUCUUCAAUCUGGGGAUAAUCUGUUUUUCUGUAUAAUCCAUCUGAGAAGACUUUUAAAUGCUUCUCUAUAUUGCUGCUCUGUGUGGUCCAGAGGUCCUCGGUGUGUCAUUGGUUGGUGAUCAAGGCUUUAUAAAAAGCUCAUAAAUGGCAGAAUGCUGUGUGUAAAUUCAGCUAGUCUUUUCAGCCUCCAUAUCUGAGCAGGGUCUGAUCGAGCCCACAUGUCCACAGCCUCAUCCAGUGAUCCACACUUCAUCCAUUUAGUUGUUGUGUGACCAGGAGUUGGUGAUAAAGACACUUGGGAUGGCCAGUUUGUGGGGGUUAGCCUUUAGCUUCUGUGGAACUGGAUUAGUCAGUCCUGUGGUUUAGUUUAGCUGGAGCUGUUGUGUUGUAGAUGAAUAUUGAGAUCAUAUUGGUAGCAUCUUAAAUGAAGUACUCAAUGAUUGUGUGGAUCAAACUCUUUCAAGAUUUAGUUUGCAUGACCACUCCAGCCAGGACUUUGUUGUUACAUGCAGCUGUUUGCAGCCAAGCGAAGAUGAAAUGCUGCAUUAGUGUGUAAAACCUGUUCUUUGUGUUCAUGAUGUUCACAAGCGGGUAAAUGAGGCCUAUACAGUCUGGAACCAGCUGACUAGAUGGUGGUGAAGGACUGGAGAAGGAAACGCUGGAGAGCUUGCAGAUGGAACAGACCCUACCAAGCGCUGAAAGGUUGCAGAGAGGGCAAACUGGAUCCACACCAGCAACCGCUGAUGAUUCAUCAGGCGUCCAUCAGGAUCAGUAAGUGAACCAACACCCUCCCCUCAUCUGUGUGUGCCGGGGAGAGAGAGGACGCUGGUAACAAGAGUCUCUCAAGCUGCAAGAAGGCUGCACAAAUCAGGGCUGAGCUGAGGUCUCACAAUGAACACACUGUGGCAUAGAAGGGACGAAUAAGAUGCAAUCUGACUGUCCACUGCCAUCGUUGUCCUGCCAUGACAAAUGUUGCAUGGAUGUUUCUGGUAAAAUCAAUAACACACACCACAAUAAAACCCAGAACUGGCUGGUUCACCUAGCGUUAGCUUGCAGUGGUACAUAAACAGGAAGUAUAAUGCCCAACGCAAACUUCUUGGACAAGUAGAAACAUCUACACUGCAACAUCAGAUCUUCUGUAUCUGGAAGGCAGUGUGUGUCCUUACCCCUUCAUGAUGUUGUACGUGUCAGCAACAAGUUGUCUAAGUGUAGACAAGGCCUCAGCCUCUUUUUUGCCUGCCUUGAAGUCUCACUUUAAGAGCGACCUGUAGGCAACACAUCCAUGGCCUCAUCCAAUAGGAGAUCAGGAUCCUGAGGCCUUGAGCUGGAUGCUUCUGUCCAUCUGAGAUCUUCAUUUGGAGUUAGUAAGGGCUCCACUGCUGCCACCUCCAGCUGGCAUCCUGUCAUCUAUGCUUUGGCCAUGUAAAGCUCAUCAGGGUGUCACCAGACAAGUUCUUCAUUGUUAUGUAGCGAUGACCAAGAGCUGUGCUGGAGAUGAUCCUUUUCCUUGUACUCAGGCACAGCAUCCACUGGAGGAGACUUAUGAAGGCUUUGCUGUCCUCUUCCUCUGUGGCUUCCCUGGGUUUUUUUUACGAGUCUUCAGCAGCUCAUUGAGGUUGUUUAAAACCUCAUACAUGGCAGAGUUUUCCUUACACCUCAACCUGUCUUUUGAUUACCCUGUCAAGGCCUUUACGGAUCGCCACCAGUUGUACCUGCCACUGUUUCAAAGCUCCCCUUUGCCAGUAAAUCCAUAGUGUCUUCCUUUUGACUUGUGACAACUUUUUCAGUUUGUUCCUCAGUUGGACAGGAGCUCCAAGCUGGAUGCUCCACGUCUAGUUACAAGUUUGCUGGACGACACACUGUAGAUGGCUGCUGUCAUUUUUUUUCUGCUGGACUGUAGGAAAAAGAGAAAGGAAACGGAGAGCUAAGAAGUUCCACUUUCAGAAUUGUCUGUUUCAUAGCACCGAGCACAUGAAAAAGCUCCAGGAACUGAGGCUGAGAUGCUCUGACAAACAUUUACUUCUGCAAAAUAACGUGUUGUUCCCUCAACUUUUAGUUUAGUUGCUCAUGGUAGCGUCUCCAUUGGAGCUGGUUCACUACAGCUAUCAAACACGCUGCACUGUCCAAUAUUUAUGUA